GGUAUUCUAAAUAAGGAUAAUGACACUCCUCAAAUUGUGUUGAAUGAUGGGGUCGUGCAAAUAGUAGUAAUCACACCAAGGACUUCGAGGUCAUGGGCUUAAGCAAUUUCCGACAAACUAUGGUAUUGGUGGGAAGCUCAGAAGAUUUUCAAUGAAGAAAUCAAUCAUCUCCAAUAAAAUUUUCUGAAGUAGUGAUUCUCUCUGAUGAAAAAUAUGAUGGAGUUUGGAGAGGUGGUCC
rnacentral:lncRNA from 1 species